AUUGAACGCUGGCGGCAGGCCUAACACAUGCAAGUCGAGCGGAUGAAGGGAGCUUGCUCCUGGAUUCAGCGGCGGACGGGUGAGUAAUGCCUAGGAAUCUGCCUGGUAGUGGGGGAUAACGUCCGGAAACGGGCGCUAAUACCGCAUACGUCCUGAGGGAGAAAGUGGGGGAUCUUCGGACCUCACGCUAUCAGAUGAGCCUAGGUCGGAUUAGCUAGUUGGUGGGGUAAAGGCCUACCAAGGCGACGAUCCGUAACUGGUCUGAGAGGAUGAUCAGUCACACUGGAACUGAGACACGGUCCAGACUCCUAUGGGAGGCAGCAGAGGGGAAUAUUGGACAAUGGGCGAAAGACUGAGAAAGAGAUGCCGCGUGUGUGAAGAAGGUCUUCGGAUUGUAAAGCACUUUAAGUUGGGAGGAAGGGCAGUAAGUUAAUACCUUGCUGUUUUGACGUUACCAACAGAAUAAGCACCGGCUAACUUCGUG
rnacentral:rRNA from 1 species